rnacentral:rRNA from 1 species
AUGGAGACUUUCGGCAGUUGGUUGAGAAAACAUUUAAUGAAUGACAAUGAUGUUGUAGAUCAGCUGUACAUGUUGGCCAAGACACCAUCUUCGACUAUAACGACUUUCCAAGGGUACGAGAUAAAUGGGAAUACAUUUUACACGAUCGUCCAAGAUAAAAAGAGCACCAACCAAAACAGUGGUGUCCGCUUUGAUGCAGCAACCGAGAAUGGGCAAAAGGUCACAUAUUAUGGUUACAUAGAGGAGAUAUGGAAACUUGACUAUGGACCCUCCUUUAAGGUCCCUUUGUUCCGGUGCAAAUGGUUCAAGCUAACAGGAGGUGGGGUAAAGGUGGACGAGCAAUACGGAAUGACAAUGGUGGAUUUCAACAAUCUUGGUUACCUUGACGAACCAUUCGUCCUUGCCAAAGAUGUCGCUCAGGUUUUUUAUUUGAAGGACAUGAGUAGCAAACCGAGGAAACGGAAAGAUAAGAAAACGAUCAGUACAUCAUGCGAUGAUCCAAAGCGCCACAUUGUUCUUUCAGGGAAAAGAAACAUCGUGGGAGUGGAGGACAAGACAGACAUGUCAGAAGAUUAUAAUAUGUUUGGUGAAAUUCCGCCCUUCAAAGUGAACAUUGACCCAAGCAUUAAGUUAAAUGAUGAGGAUGCUCCACGGAUACGGCACAAUCGUAAGCAAGCAGGGACACAAGGGAAGAAUUGA